CUGACAGCUCUUGUUUAUUACUGUUGUUGUACUUCUAUUUUUAAUGUUAUUUGUUGGCUUGUGUUUUCAGGAAAAGAUGUUACAGCCAGUGUAUGAAGACUGAACUUUUGAUAGGUCACAGGUGCUCUCGCAAAGACUGAUGGCCUGGCAGCAUAAACUAUUCUAUGGUUAUAGGGGUAAUGUCUUUAAACAGAAGCAUGCUGUUGUGGAGUGAAAGUGCACAAACCAUUGAUAACCCUUUGGAGAAUCAGUACCAGAUGUCUUUUCAAAUGUUUGCCAUUCUGAAGUUUUUUUUUGACUGAGCAGUGUCAACCAGUCUUCGAAUCCUAGAGAAUCAGUUCCUCCAAAUGAACAAAUCACCACAGUUAUAAAAAUUAUGGGCAGAGAUAUUUCAUAGAAGAGAG